rnacentral:rRNA from 1 species
UACGAAGGGGGCUAGCGUUGCUCGGAAUCACUGGGCGUAAAGCGCACGUAGGCGGAUUGCUAAGUCAGGGGUGAAAUCCUGGAGCUCAACUCCAGAACUGCCUUUGAUACUGGCGACCUUGAGUCCGGGAGAGGUGAGUGGAACUGCGAGUGUAGAGGUGAAAUUCGUAGAUAUUCGCAAGAACACCAGUGGCGAAGGCGGCUCACUGGCCCGGUACUGACGCUGAGACGGCGAAAGCGUGGGAGCAACAGG